UCGUGUUUUUUUAAGAUGGAGAAUAUUAUAACUGAAACUAAUAAUAGCAAUACUGAGGUUUAGGAUAAUAAUUGUGCGGCCAGAAAACACUAUUCACUGAGGUUUAGGAUAACAAUUCACUAAUAUUCGCGGUUUAGGAUAACAAUUGAUAUUAGUUUAUUCUCUAAUAUUCAUGUUUUUUUAAGAUGGAGAAUAUUAUAACUGAAAAUAAUAAUAACAAGAGUGAGGUUUAGGAUAAUAAUUGUGUGGCCAGAAAACAAGGUUUAGGAUAACAAUUGUGUGGCCAGAAAACUCUAGUUGACUUGACCGAGUGGACUAGGUGCAUCAUCUUCCUUGCAAAUACCAUAUAGGCAUAUGAACACAAUGCAUUUCCUCAGAUCCUGAACAAUUACAAGUAGCUUCCUACUAUUACGACUAGUACCAUCAAACUACUUCAUCCGACUGAGAGCUGAGCUCAGACAUAAGAGAGUAAUGGCGACGAUGCUUGUGGGUGUUUCUACAGGAGUAAUGAACACCCUCCUGUCCAAGCUCUCCAAGAUUUUGGAGGACAAAUACACAAAGCUCAAAGGAGUACGCCGUCAAAUCGCAUUCUUUAGAAAUGAGUUGAGCAGCAUGAAGGCUGCCUUGGAGAUGCUUGAAACUGUAGAGGAACUUGAUCCCCUCCAGAAGGAAUGGAGGGACACAGUGCGUGAGCUGGCUUAUGAUAUCGAGGACUGUAUUGAUCCCUUCUUGGUUCUUGUUGAUCAGAAGCAAGAUGAACAAUCAACAUUCUUUAAGGGGUUCUCCUACAAACUGAAGAAGAUGAAGGCUCGCCAUGAGAUCUCUAAUGAGAUUGAAGAACUGAAGACACGCGUGAUAGAGGCAAGCAAGAGGCACAAGAGAUAUAAUUUUGUUGGUCUACAAUCCAGCCAUGGCACUUCUGGUAUUGACCCUAGGCUGCGAGCACUCUACGUUGAGGUUGAUGAGCUUGUGGGAAUCAAAGGACCAAAGGAGCAUGUCAUGGAGUGGUUUGCCAAGGGGAGAGGUGAUGUAGAAGUGAAGGUGUUGUCCGUUGUGGGUUCUGGAGGUCUGGGUAAGACUACUCUUGCCAACCAAAUCUUCCGUCAAUUGAAGUGCCAAUUUGAAUGCACAGGUUUUGUAUCUGUGUCACGAAGUCCUGACAUAAAGAGUAUUUAAAGACAAAUGCAUACUGAGGUAGGGAUCACUGAUGACACAUCUGAAGAUGAGCGACAACUGAUAGACAAAAUAAGGGACCACCUCAAAGAUAAAAGGUACUUUGUUGUAAUUGAUGAUGUAUGGGAUGUUGAAGCAUGGGAAGCUGUGAAACUUGCCUUGUUCAAUAAUAGAUGUGGUAGCAGAAUCGUCAUGACAACACGUAAUGCAGCAGUUGCAUCGCAUUGCUCACGUGGUGGUGUUUGUGUCUAUCAAAUGGAACCCCUUAGUUUUGCUGACUCCAAAAUGUUGUUUUGCCAAAGAGCAUUUCGUUCCCAGGAAUUAUACUAUCCCCAUUUGGAAGAAGUUUGUGAUGAGAUACUGGCAAAGUGUGGUGGAUUACCAUUGGCAAUUAUUACUGUAUCUAGCUUGUUAGCCGGCAAGCAUGCAAAAGAUGAAUGGGACAGGAUGCUAACUGCUAUUGGCCAUGCACUUGCUAAGAAUCCUGAUGCUGCUAACAUGACAAAGAUAUUAUCUCUCAGUUACUUUGAUCUUCCCCACCAUCUAAGAACUUGUUUCUUAUAUUUGAGUGUAUUUCCAGAAGAUUACAAGAUCAGCAAGCAACACUUGAUAAAUAGAUGGAUUGCCGAAGGAUUUGUUCAUGAAGAACAAGGAUGGAGGACCUAUGAAGUUGGCGGGAACUAUUUUAAUGAUCUCAUCAAUAGAAGUUUGAUCGAACCAGUUGAUAUAAAUGAUGGCCAGGCGAAGGCAUGUCAAGUUCAUGACAUCAUUCUUGAUUUCAUCACAUGCAAGGCUGCCGAGGAAAAUUUCGUCACCUCAGUGAAUUCUGUGGAGCAUGGGAACAUUUCAGAAUGCAGAGUUCAUAGGCUCUGUGUCAAGAAUCACAAUAAUGAAAAGGUUAGCAAACCAACAAGCCUGAAUGUCACUCAUGUCCGGUCACUUACCAUGUUUGGGCAUGUCGAUGGAAUUUCCUUGUUUGCUUUCCCAAUUUUGCGUGUGUUGGACUUAUCAUAUUCACUGUUAAAAGACAAACAUCUUAAAAAUAUUGAAAAGUUGCAUUUUCUCAAGUAUUUAUCUCUCCGGUCAACAUUAAUAACUAAGCUCCCAAGAAAGAUUGGACAACUGAACUGUCUAGAAACACUGGACAUAUCUUAUACUGAAAUUCUAGAACUGCCGCUAAGUAUUGCAAAACUUGAGUGCCUGGCCAAUCUAUAUGUUGGAAGAGGGACUAGAUUUCCGGACAGAUUAAUUGGUAAGAUGCAUAGCCUGGUAGAACUAGAGGAAUUUGGCGUGUCAUGUGAACUAGGCAAGUCUCUGCAAGGAUUCAGUCAGCUAUCAAAGCUUAGGACGUUGAAAGUUCAUCUUUUUUGGUGGUCAGAUGCUGAGGAGUGUCAAAAUUACGUGUCAGCUUUGCUAUCUAGCAACCUUCAUCAUCUAUAUUUGACCGGUGGCCCACUGAUCAUGGAGAAGUGGUACCCUCCUAGUCCUUGCAUCAUCCGGAAGCUUCAUAUCAUAGGCUGUUACAUCCGUAAGGUCCCAAACUGGAUGAGCUCGCUUGGAAGCCUCACUGAAUUACAACUCUGGAUCCAUAGAAUGGGACCGAAUGAUAUUGAGAUCCUUGGCGCAAUACCCAGCUUGUGUUUUCUCAAACUUAAAACUAUGUGUGGCAUCAAUGGAAGGAUCAUCAUAUGUAGCAACAAAGGAUUCAGAAGUCUGACAUAUUUCUCAUUACGAAUCAAGAGAUGUGGGACCUUGCUAGAGUUUGAACCAGAAUCAAUGCCAAAGCUUGAUAACUUCCAAGUGGAAUUCCGUUUACAUGGAAUGGAUUGCCUGAAUGGUGCUUCUGAUUUCGGCAUCCAGCACCUCUCCGCCCUUACCAAAGUCAAGAUCGGUAUUUGGGGCAACAUUUGCUCUGAUGGUAUUUAUGAUCCAGAACAAGAUAUGAACAAUAGCAUCACCAGGUCUGUUGUUAGCCUAAUCAAAGCUGCCAUCGAGAAGCUUCCCAAUCAUCCAACUAGCAGAUUCCAUUUAGAGUAUGAUCAUGGAAGUUGUUUAUUGGGUGAGACAAGUCAAGAGUUUGAGGGUCAGGGUCCAGAUGAGGCCUAUCCUCGCCAGCAUAAAAUUUUUUCACUACGGGAACUAGAAGAUGCAACAAAUUGCUUUAGCGAUAGCAAUGUUCUUCAACGUGGUCGAUUCGACGGCAGCAUGUACAAAGGAAGACUAGGAGAUGGCUCAUUAGUAGCUGUUAAAAAGGAUUAUAUAAGCCGGGCUUUAAGCAUGGGUUAUCCAAACAUUGAUUGGAGAACAUGGCACUUUCAAACACAAGUUGAGAUGCCUGUGCAUAGAAACCUGAUGCGUCUUCAUGGAUUCUGCAUAACGCCAACAAAAAGAUAAUUAGAGGGUUGAUUUGGGUUUUAUAUUAUAGAACGGCCGCCAUAUGAACCUCCACUUGAUUGGCGAACAAGGAGGAGGAUUGCAUUGGGUUCCGCCAGGGGACUGUCCUAUUUACAUGAUCAUUGUGACCCAAAGAUUAUCCAUCGUGAUGUCAAAGCUGCAAAUAUUUCAUUAGAUGAAGACUUUGAAGCCUUAGUGGGGGGUUUUGGUUUGGCC